UCUCGAUUGGUCUAGUGGUCAGGAUACCUGCUUGUCAUUGUGGUUCAGAUACUUAGAGUUCACGAUGGUGAACCCUAGUGAUCAUGAAAGCAAGCCGCAGGUGGCCGGGGUUCGAUUCCCCGAUCGAGAG
rnacentral:tRNA from 1 species